rnacentral:rRNA from 1 species
CAUGCAAGUCGAACGAGAAGCCCCUUCGGGGGUGGACAGUGGCAGACGGGUGAGUAACGCGUGGGAAUCUACCCUAGGGUCUGGGACAACUACUGGAAACGGUGGCUAAUACCGGAUAAUCUCGCAAGAGCAAAGAUUUAUUGCCCUUGGAUGAGCCCGCGUAGGAUUAGCUUGUUGGUGAGGUAACGGCUCACCAAGGCCACGAUCUUUAGCUGGUCUGAGAGGAUGAUCAGCCACAUUGGGACUGAGACACGGCCCAGACUCCUACGGGAGGCAGCAGUGGGGAAUAUUGCGCAAUGGGGGAAACCCUGACGCAGCCAUGCCGCGUGAAUGACGAAGGCCUUAGGGUUGUAAAGUUCUUUCAAUGGGGAAGAUAAUGACGGUACCCAUAAAAGAAGCCCCGGCUAACUCCGUGCCAGCAGCCGCGGUAAUACGGAGGGGGCUAGCGUUGUUCGGAAUCACUGGGCGUAAAGCGCGCGUAGGCGGGCUGAUUAGUCAGGGGUGAAAUCCCGGAGCUUAACUCCGGAACUGCCUUUGAUACUGUCAGUCUUGAGAUCGAGAGAGGUAAGCGGAAUUCCGAGUGUAGAGGUGAAAUUCGUA